GGGGGCGCCCCGGUUUCGACGGGAUUGAAUCGUAGUGGGAAGGCGCGCCGGGUUCCGAGCUCCCGUAAAACGAUCGGAAAAACACAACUGCCAACAAUCAGCAGUUUGCAUACGCUGCUUAAUUAAUUAAGCGGCCGUUCCAGCCGGUGAGUCCGUGCGCCGGUGAGUGAACGUCAUCUUACGGAAUAGGCCCUAAGCUUCGGUCCGGAGCGGAAGGCCGAGAUCAAUCGGACUAGGCCGCCGUUAUUCUUGCCGCUUCUGAGGCGUCGGCCGAAUCUACGGAAGCGGAUACGCGCGUAGUUCUUUUC
rnacentral:tmRNA from 1 species